GCCUAGUUAGCUUAGUUGGUAGUGCGUCUGCCUUGUAAGCGCUAGGCCGCGGGUUCGAUUCCCGCCCGGGUC
rnacentral:tRNA from 1 species